UUGUCUUGGAAAUCAUGUAUGAUAGGCCCCAAUAGUUGAGAGCCUUGAGGAAAUCUACAUCACUCCAUGAACUCUCAUCCUUUAUGUCUCCACCCUUGUCAUUGUACUCAACAGCAGAUGUACUAGAAGUAUACACAACUCGCUUCACCGUCUUUGAAUUCAGACACGCCUUUAAAAUGCCUAAAGUGCCUUCCACCGAUCUUUUGGUCACAGUUUCCUCUGGUUCUGUGUCUUCAAAAUCUAUGGGAUGAGCAACAUGGAAAACUCCGAUACAUCCUUCAAUGGCUGCUUCAAAACUGCUGGGAUCACUCAGAUCUGCGUUGUAGAUUCGGAGCUUUUCCGAUGCUCCCGGAAGGUUUGUCAGGUAGCUAACGUCUUUCUUGCUCUCUGAUCAUGUGGAAAUUUUUGCAAUUUCUAGAGUUAGCUUCUUUGCUAAAAAAGCCCUAAAAAAAACCAGAAUGGCAAAACAUUUCGUACUCCAAAACACGAUUAAUAAUUUUAUUAGUUUCGAAAAACUAAACUUAAAAAAAAUGAGGAAAAAAAAAAAAAAAGAUUAUAAAAUUCAAAAAAUUUGCAUACGAGGGUGAGAUCGAAUGGUAGCAUUAACAGAGUAACCGUGUUGCAGAAGCUUCAUGACGAGCCAUGAGGCUAUGAACCCUGUCCCACCUGUUACACACACUCUGCCUUUCUCGCCUUCCAUUUCUUCUCUCUCUCUUCUCUUUGUUUCUCUGUCUCUGUGUGUCCCCUCUCUUGAUUUCUUUCUCUCCCUUUCUCUAGUAGGUUGCAUAUCAAUCUACAUACUUUGUCCCUCUUGAGUCUUGAUUUCUUUCUCUCGCUUUCUGUGUUAGGUUGCAUGUCAAUUCAGUCCCAUAUAAUCUAUUUAAUAAAAAGGAUGAUAUUCUUAAAUAUACAACUGGGGAGAGCGGGACAAGAGACUACCAUCGAGACUACCAGGCACACCACAACCAACAGGCAAGACAAACGAGACUUGGGAAAGCUGGCAACCCAAUCGGGAGACAGAGUCUCGUUAAAUAAUAGAUUUCUUUCCUCCUAUUCCUUUUUUUCUAGCAAGAUGACAUCAUUACUUACAUGCUCCUGAGAUUAAAUUAAAGAGUAUCGGGUCAAAAUGGGUCAUUUAUUAAAAAAAAAAAAAAAAAAACAACCAAUUUUUCAAAGUUACGAUCAAAUUCGUCUCUUUGUAUUCAAAUUCAUCUCUUUGUCAUAGGCAUCAUGUCAUUAAAUUAUUUUUUUUUUCAUCAUUUUAGUUAAAAUAUCAAUUGAUAGCUGAAACUUCAUUUUUAAACUAAAACCGUAAUUGAUAAUAAGACUUCAUUUUUUAACUAAAGCCUCAAUUGAUAACUGAGACUUUAGUUAAUUAUUUUUUAAAAUUAAAAAUUAUUAAAUUAUAAUUUAUUAUUGAAAAUUUAAAAAUAUAUUUAAAUAAUAAUUAUUUAUAUUUAAACUUAAGAAUCUAGUAUUAUUUUAACAAACAUAAAUUGAUAAAUAAAAAAAAUUAUAACUGAAUAUUUUAUUUAUUAAUAAUCUUAAAAUAAUAAAUUUAUAUAACAUAUAAAUAAUUUAUAAAAUAAAAAUGAAGUGAUUUUAAGUAAAAUGAUGAUUUUUUUUUUUUUUUAAUGAUAUGGCGCCUACGUGACACCAAAAAUGCUAAUUUAAACACAAGUUUCAAAAAGGCUAAUUUAAACACAAGUUUCAAAAAGUGGUUGGAUGUUAUGUUUUUUUUUAAUAAAUGGGUCAUUUUGAACCAAUGCUCCAAAUUAAAUUUAAACCUAUGAGCCCAUCCCGAACACUUCAUACGAAAAUGGAUUAACUCAUUGAAAGACUUGCAAGAAUGUUGAACAUUUUGCCUUCUCAGAUCAUCAGCAGCAGACAAGCAAUUAAUACUGAAAAAUGACUGAAAAUGAAUUAAUUUACUCGGUUGUGGGAUUACCUUUUUACUUUUAUUUAUUCUAAUUACCUUUACGAUCUCUUUUGCUAUCCUACCACCUCCACUAUUAAUCGAUCUUGUUUACUUUAAUUAUAAUUUAUGAAUAUAAAUAUGCUAAUUUUAUAAUUUAAAAUAAGUUUUAAAUUAACUUUAUUAAACAGCCUUAACGUCAAUUAAAAUUUUAAUUUUGUUAGAUUUCAGUUUUGAACAAAAAAAAUCUAUCAAUUUACUGUAACAUAGCCUUAGAAGCAUUUAUCAUCAAGGCAAUGAUCCAAUAGUAAGAGGGGAUCUGAACUAUCAGGUACAUGCCAUGUACUGCUUGUUUCUAAUUUUGAAAAAAUAGGGGUAAACAAAAGCAAAACACCAAACAUGUUCUCUCCAAAACAAUAAAGCUAGGCUCAAAAAGCAUUAAGAGAAUCAUAAAUCAGAAGAUUUGCAGCAUCAACAUACUUUCCUAGUUGAUUUUGAAUCCCCUGUUUUAGUUGGUCCCAGCAUUUCGUGUAGUAAACCUGAAGUAUGAAUCCACCAAUAGUAUAUGAGCAAAGAGGAAGAAAAAAACCAAAAUUAAUAUGUCAAAUUCAACAUCUACUGAUCAAACAAAUGUUCAAUGAGUUCUUAAAAUGAGUUUUCUAUCAUCCCACCAUCAAUACCUUAUCCAACUUCUUGAGUUGGUUGCACAGGCUCUUUUCUCUAAUAUAUGUUUAUCAUACAUUUUCCAAGUGAUCAAUCUUCAAAUAUUUUACUACAACACAAAAGAAGGGUGGGAAGUUUGACCAACAACCUUUUGAACCUUCACCUCAUCUUUUCAAAGCACUGAAGCAGCAUAAUCCGCUUCAUUGGGAUUUCACUAAAUUUUCAGCAGUUUAAUCUUCUUAGUCAAAUCUCUGUUUUGCCCACUGUUGAGCUAGUCCCUAGCACUAUACUGUAAUGCAAUCAUUCUAAAAUUAUGAACUUGUGGCAUGCAGUAUCCACAUAAGUGCCAUCUCCAGAUCCCUACUCCCUACCAUCUUGAAAUCCAAUAACGUUCCAUUGUUUCAAUUGAUUGGCAACUUAAAGCAAAAUGACCACCAAUAGUAAACACAAAUCAUUUUUCAAAAGCAUAUGAUUCGAUGUGUGGGACCUUCUCCACUCAAGGUUCAGAAUUUCUCUGGGAAAAUAAAAGCAAUGAAACUUACAAUUUUAAGAAGAAACCAAAUUUCGGCGGUAUUAAGUUGCUAAAUGGCGUUUCUUUCUUGAAAAUCAAGAAAAAAAAAAUCCAAAUUUCAGGUAGGUCAAAAAAACUUUAAGUCAACAUUCAGUACACCAACGCCGUUUCCCGUUACUGGAAACGCACAAAUUUUUCUCAGGAUUUUCAAUAACCCCCUACUCUCAAAAACAUUCUUCCACGCACAGAUUUCGAAAAUGCCAUAUGUGUUGAUGUCUCACGUCUUUGAGGAUCCACGUAGUUGACAGAUGGAUGGACGCGUGAUCUCAACCCAUAAAGGUUCUUGAUCCAGCCGUUAUACCUGCAAGAAGGCAUCCGGACAGGGUGUCCGGACGCACCCUCCGAUGGUUUUGUUAGCCAUGGUGAGAGAGAGGAAUAUAAAUCAGUUGGCCUUUUACCAGGUAUUAAAAAGUUACCAGGAGGAUCCCCCUCUUCUUCGUGCGAAUGCAUAUAUAUACAGCUUCAGGGUACUGUUCCUUUCAUUAAUGGUGAGGAAAUAUUUUAUGAUGGGAUGUGGGCCAUAGCUGGCUGUCGUGAUAGCGUGUAAGACUUGCUUUACUUUGAUUGAUGAUCCGGACGAUUAUAUCCGGGUGGCACAUGCUUAUUGCCCGGAUGUAUUGUGGGGCGAAUCCAUUAUGAAGGUUGUCCGGAUGUCUGUGCUUUGCCAGCGACGUUUGCUCUCCCUUGGAUAUGAGAAGUUGAAACGUCUUUUGCCUUUCCUUGAGGUGAUCCGGAUAGGAGAACUGCCUCAUGCAUAUCUUUAGGGGAAUCCGGAUGGUGGUGGUUCGGAUGAUGAUGCGUGCCACGUGUCACUGUGAGGUGCGUGCCACGUGUUUUCCAGAGGGAGGGGUCCCUACAAUAUGCCCGCAACCUUUUCAAAAUUUUCACCUCAAAAGCAAAUAAGAAACUCAUUUGUCCACAAAAUAUGAUUUCUAGAAAGAAAAAAAAAAAAAAAAAAAGCUUUUCUUCAUCAUUUCCCUAUCUUUUCGUCCGUUUUCUUAGCAAAGAAGUACAGACAACACAAGUACAACAAACCAAAAUCCAAACAAAAAAAGUCAAAUAAACUUACGAUCGCGGUUGAUUUGACGAAAGUUCUUGUACUCUCCGGCAUUUGACGAAAAAUCAAAGUCCGACAUCGACAUCGCGGAUCCAAAAGAACGAAGAUCAGAGAGCCAAAUGCAGAAGAGAAAAGGCGAGAAAGUUAGAGGGGAGAGUGUCUUCUAGAGAGAGAGUUUUCUGGAGCAAGAAAGGAGGAGAGAUAUGAUCGGAGGAAAGGUCGUUAUGGUUGUGGUGGGAACGUUCUUCUCGAUGAAUAUUUUUAUUUUUUGAAUGUAAAAUAGAACGGGAAUGUCGCAUCCGAAACACCAAAUGCGUCGUCGUUUUGUCUCUUUAAAUGCUUGAAAUUACGGUUCCAUCCUUUCUUGUUUUUAUCUCAUACGGCCCCCAUAUUUUGAAGUGUUCGCCUUUUAACCCUUGAAGGGGCUUCGACCCUGGUGUUGGUGCCAAGACGUGACCACCUCUCAACUCUCACGUUGAUUUAUCUAUUGGAGAUUUUCUACAAAAAUGGGCUACUUGAAGAGACGUGGACAUUUUUUUUGUUUUUUUAGCUUCCAAACUUCUUUAUUUACUUAUUUUUAAUGAAGACACAAUUUUUCCCAAAAUAAUUGCAUUUCAAAUAGGGAUGACAAUGAAAUGGAUUUUUUUAGGUAUCCGCACCUUGCUCCUAAUGAGACAGGGUUCAAUUGUAAUAAACGAGUUUGAGAUUUUUUUUCCCCCAUUUAAUUUUUUAAAUGAGACGGGAUGAGAAUUAUUUUAAAUAAACGGAGCGGGGUUGGAAUGGGGACGACCCGUCCCGAAUCUGUUUCAUUGUCAUUCCUAAUUUCAAAGCAAUUUUUAAUACUUCAAUCAAGUUUUAAAAAAUGUGAUUAAAUUAAAUUUAUAUUAACUACCUCAAAUUAGAACUUAAGUUAAGUUAGAUUUGGAUUGAUUGUUUCUUAAUUAAAUUUAACCCAAUUUAUCUAUUAACUCGAUCCAACCCAUCUAAAUUGUAAUCUUACUUAAAAUGACAACUUCAAUUUUAUUUUAUUUUAAAAAAAAAUGAAUUUAAGUUGGAGUCAUUGUUUCUUAAGUAAUAAUUUGUAUUUUUAAAAGAGGUUGUUACUUGAAGGGAAAAUUUGACUAAAAAUAAAAUAUGAAAUAUUCAACUUUUAUUUUUAAAAAAACUUAAUUUUUAGUUUAAGUGUAAUUUGAAGAAAUAAUUUCAAUGUAAAAGGAAUUAAUAAAUUUUAUAUUAAAAUUGUCUCUUGAAAAAAUAACUUCAAAACACGUAAGUUAAAAACCUUUAACAAGUUCUCAAUAUCGUAAAUGUAACCAAAUAUUCAAAUUAUAUAAUUAUGCUACUUUUGAUCGAGGUUACAAAUGCCUCACAACAACAUUGAACAAAACAUCCAAGCCAUUCAUCACAUGAAUGACCUCAUGUGUGAACAUCCUCCCUAACUAAUGAGAGAGCAUUUGUAGCAUAUGAAGCAUUCUUACCACUAGCUCAUAAAAUGAUAAUGUUUGAGUAAGAAAUAGGCAAGUAAUGUAACAAUAUGAAACUAUGUAUGAAUUAUGAUAUUUGAGUGGACUUGAAGCUAUCUCGGCCGUCGAGAUAUUAGUCCAAUCAAAAUCAUGUUGCUUCUUUAAAUCGCACAUUUGUAAGCUAGACUUGAGAUCACAUGGCCAAGGAAUGCCAUAGGAACCUCGAACUAUAUCACUCAACUAUGUGUAUAUGUAUUAAUUAAGGGUGAGAUAGGGCUCAAGCCCAAAUACAAUUAAAAUCACACUAUUAUCAUAUUAUUAUAUAAUUUUUAAUAUUAUACUUUGUAUUUUAUUGAAAUAUUAAACAAAAUAUUACCAUCACUACCAAACAAACUCCAACUAGCAAUGCAAAACACACCUCAAAUGUAACGUUCAAACUGGCAGUUCUAUUUAUUAAGAGCUUAUGCCAAACAAGGACUAGAGAAACCCCUUCUCUUUGCAGCAUUGAAUUGCUUCAUCAAACAUCUCAUCCAGCCCAUACUUAUACUUGAAACCAGUAUCCAAUAGCUUCUUUGACGAGACGCCAGGUGUUCCAUACCCUUGAACCUCCUUCAAAGAACUGCAAAACAAAAAAACAAAAAAGCAAUUGAAUAUUUUUGUCUUUUCAGAUCAACAGAUAUGAAGCCAAAAAACAUGGAGCAAUUGUUAAGAAAGGAUUAAAAUGGAACAGAACUCACUCUAUAGUGGGUAUUGGAAGUUGUGGGUACUUGGCAGAAAGAAACUCAGACAUCUCAUUCAGUGUCAGUCUGUCUGAUGAACAAAUAUAUCUGCCUUUUGCAUCUGGGCAUUCCAGAAGAAAGAUGUGUGCACUGCAUACAUCAUCCACGUGCACCAUUGAUAUGUUCAUAAGAACAUGAUACUGUUGCUGGUCACCUGUAUAUGUCAAGAAAAUUAUGAAAAAGGUAUUUUCAGAAGAAAGUGCCAAUAUAUAUCACAUGAUUCAAUUAGAACAUGUGUGUCUUCACAAAGUGAAGCAACAUACCUAAGACCAGAGCCAGUGCGGUGUUCACCGAUCCAGGGAACCGGGGACAAAUGAAGGGGCCCACAACAAAAGAAGGAGUCACAGUCACCAGAUCCAAUCCAUGCUCUUGUGCAAAAUCAAGCGCUGACCUUUCGGUUAUUGUCUUGGAAAUCAUGUAUGAUUGGCCCCAGUAGUUGAGAGCCUUGAGGAAAUCUACAUCAGUCCAUGAACUCUCAUCCUUUAUGUCUCCACCCUUGUCAUUGAGCACAACAGCAGCUGUACUGGAAGUAUACACAACUCGCUUCACCGUCUUUGAAUUCAGGCACGCCUUUAAAAUGCCUAAAGUGCCUUCCACCGAUCUUUUGGUCACAGUUUCCUCUGGUUCUGUGUCCUCAAAAUCUACGGGAUGAGCAACAUGGAAAACCCCGAUACAUCCUUCAAUGGCUGCUUCAAAACUGCUGGGAUCACUCAGAUCUGCGUUGUAGAUUCGGAGCUUUUCCGAUGCUCCCGGAAGGUUUGUCAGGUAGCUAACGUCUUUCUUGCUCUCUGAUCAUAUUGAAAUUUUUGCAAUUUCUAGAGUUAGCUUCUUUGCUAAAAAAACCCAGAAUGACAAAACAUUUCGUACUCCAAAACACGAUUAAUAAUUUUAUUAGUUUCGAAAAACGAAACUUAAAAAAAAAAAAAAAAAAGAUAUAAAUUUCAAAAAAUUUGCAUACGAGGGUGAGAUCGAAUGGUAGCAUUAACAGAGUAACCGUGUUGCAGAAGCUUCAUGACGAGCCAUGAGGCUAUGAACCCUGUCCCACCUGUUACACACACUCUCCCUUUCUCGCCUUCCAUUUCUUCUCUCUCUCUCUUUCUUCUCUUUGUUUCUCUGUCUCUCUGUCUCUCUGUUUCCCCUCUCUUGAUUUCUUUCUCUCCCUUUCUCUAGUAGGUUGCAUAUCAAUCUACAAACUUUGUCUCUCUUGAGUUUUGAUUUCUUUCUCUCCCUUUCUGUGUUAGGUUGCAUGUCAAUUUACAAACUAUGAAUACAGUCCAUAUAAUCUAUUUAAUAAAAAAAGGAUCAUAUUCUUAAAUAUACAACUGGGGAGCAGAUUCCCCGUUGACAGUGGGACAAGAGACGACCAUCUCGAGGCACACCACAACCAACAGGCAAGACUCACGAGACUUGGGAAAGGCAACCCAAUCGGGAGACAGAGUCUCGUUAAAUAAUAGAUUUCUUUCCUCCUAUUCCUUUUUUUCUAGCAAGAUGGCAUCAUUACUUGACAUGCUCCUGUGAUCAAAUCAAAUCUAAACCCAAGAACCCAUCCCGAACACUUCAUAUGAAAAUGGAUUAACUCACUUAAAGACCUGCAAGAAUGUUGAACAUUUUGCCUUCUCAGAUCAUCAGCAGCAGACAUGGUGAAACCAAUUAAAUGAAGCAAUUAAUACUGAAAAAUGACUGAAAAUGGAUUAAUUCACCUGGUUGUAGGGAUUAUUUUUUAUUUUAAUUACUUUUACGAUAUCUUUUACUACCCUACGCCACUAUUAUUAGAUCUUCUUUACUUUAAUUAUAAUUUAUGAAUAUAUAUAUAUAUAUAUAUAUAUAUAUAUAUAUAUAUACCAAUUUUAUAAUUUAGAAUAAGUUUUAAAUUAACUUUAUUUAACAAUCUUAACAUUUAAAGUAAAAAUAAAAUAAUAAGUUUUAAGUUAAUAACUUAAAUAUAACUUAUCUUAAAGUUAAGUCAUUAAAUUAUAAGUAUUAUGUUUUACCAAACAUCUCCUAACUAAAGAAAUGAUAAAAAAUCAUAAUUCUAAAGCCAUAAAGUAGCUUCCUUUUACCCAAACUCAGUAAAAAAAAGAAGGCAAAACACGUAUUAAAAUAUUCAUAAAAAUCUAUUAAAGAAGAAGACUUGGACUAUGUUUAAUUCCCGAAAAGUAUUAAGAAAAGUAAAAAAUAAAAUAAAAUAAAUGAUUUUUUAUGUUUGAUUCCACUAUAAGAAAGAUGAAAAAAAAAUCAAAUAUAAUUAAAAUUAUUUAGAAACUUAUGUAUUUAAAGAUGAUUUAACAUUUGUAUAAUAAAAGAAAACAAGUGAAAGGAAUUUAAAAAAAUAAAUAAUUUAUUAACUUUGAAUCCAUUUUUCUUUUUCGUUUCAUUUUUUUCUCUAUUUUUUUUCCCUUAUAUUUUCCUUUAAAUUUUUCUAUAACCAAACAUCACCUUAUGAAUACCUCAACCCCUUGUGAAACAGGGGAUAAGUUUGAGCUUUGAUUUAUCUCUCUUAUGUAUUCCUUUUGACAUAUUUUUUAAUAAAGAGAUUUAUUCAAUUCAUAGAAAAUUAUAGUCUUGGAUAUAUAUAUAUGAAGAAUCUCCUUGUUACAAGGUAACCAAAAUCCAAAUUGAACACAAAGUGCAGGAAUUAUUCAUUGAGUGAACCGACAAACAUCUUGAAUAUCGCUUGACUUGACCUCCUAUUGAUGGGUAUAGAUCAUUCAAUAUCUAUAAAAUAAAUAUUACAUAUGAAAGUGAUUUAAAAAUAUAAAAAAAUAUGUUAAAAAUAUAAAGAAUAAUUUUAAAAAAUAAUUAUUAAAAUUAUCUUGAAAUGGUUUCAACAAAUCAUCCCUCCAUGUACUUAUCGCCUACUGGUUUCACAAUCUCAUGUACUUAUCUUGAAAUGGUUUCAACAAAUCAUCAUCACAAUAGCAAAUUGGAAAAUAAGUGGCUUUCACAAUCAUAUUAAACAAUAACAAAACAUAAGUCAUCAGUCAUCAGAGACCAUGAAAUACAAGCAAACUUGCUAAAAGUGAAGAGCUAGUGCCCAAACAUAAACUAAAGAAAGCCCUUUUCUUUGCAGCAUUGAACUGCUCCAUCAAACAUUUCAUCCAGCCCAUGCUUGAAUACAAAACCCGUAUCCAAAAGCUUCUUUGAUGAGAGGCCAGGUGUUCUGUAACCUUGAAUCCCACUUAAAGACCUGCAAAAGUGUUGAACAUUUUGCCCUUUCAGAUCAUCAACAGCAGAAAUGAAACCAAACAAAAUGAAGUAAUUAAUACUGAAAAAGGACUGAAAAUGGAUCAACUCACUCGGUUGUGGGGAUUGGAAGUUGUGGGUACUUGGCAGAGAGAAACUCAGACAUCUCAUUAAUCGUUAUUGUAUUUGAUGAACAAUUGUAUCUGCCUUUUGCAUUGGGGUAGUGAAGAAGAAAGAUAUGGGCACUGGCUACAUCAUCUACAUGCACCAUUGAUGUGUUCAUAAGAUUCUGGUACUGAUCCUGAAUACCUACACAGAUAUGUUAAAACAUUAGUUUUGGUUGAAGGAAAUACUGGAAAAUACUCUAAUGGAAUGACCUAGUCCUUCAAAAUGUACCCUUGAUCAUAGUAAGUGCCAUCUGCACUGAUCCAGGAAGAAAUGGACAAAGGAAGGGACCAACAACAAAGGAAGGAAGCAAAGUCACAAGAUCCAGGCCAUGUUUUUCUGCAAAUUCAAGAGCUGCCCUUUCAGUUUCUGUCUUGGAAAUCAUGUAUGGCCCUGCAAAAGACCCUAGAGACCUGAUGAACUCCACAUCACUCCAUGAACUCUCAUCCUUCAUGUCUUCAUCCUUGUCAUUGAACACAACAGCAGAUGCACUAGAGGUGUAGACAACCCUCUUUACUGUCUUUGAAUUCAGGCAUGCCUUUAAAAUGGCUAGUGUUCCUUCCACUGAUCUUCUGGUCACAGUUUCCUCUGGUUCUCUG
rnacentral:lncRNA from 1 species